rnacentral:piRNA from 1 species
UGUAUCCUACAUUCAUAGGCAUCUCUCUGC